GCAUCUUGACAUGAACCGUUCAGUGCCAUGAUGAAGUUCAGUCACUUUGAGUGUCCAUAGAUGCAACCUCUAAUAUGCCGUUCAAUUUGGUAGGGAACAGCUGAAUUGACUGAAAACACUCACCUGCAGAACAAAGCUUUGGGCUAUUUUUUGGGAUAAAUGUUUCCAGCUCAAACAAAGACACAUUUGUUGGCGUCUUGACAAAGCAACAUCCAUAUUUUGGCUGAGCUCAGUGGACACGCCCACAGCUUUUGAGAUCAGCGACAACAGAUUCAUUUUUCACAAUUUUCCAGGCUCUUUUUUUUGUCAUUCAAUAAAAAGAAAACACUUGACCUAAGAAUGAAAACUAUAUUGAAAGGUUGAAAGGAGAAACAUUUGGCUCACAGUGAGCGGGAACUAUUUUGUUGUGUAAACACAGACCUGUGGCUCCAAACCAACGACAAAAAUAUGCUGGCACAAGGAACGUCCAUGUGGUUCCACUAAAAUAGGGUGGAAGGAAUACACAGGGCCGAGGAACGCAAAUAGCUUCUUCCAGCUCGACUCUUCUUGGGGUGGUACAAGAAAUUAAAG